rnacentral:rRNA from 1 species
GCCUAAUACAUGCAAGUCGAACGCUUUUUCUUUCACCGGAGCUUGCUCCACCGAAAGAAAAAGAGUGGCGAACGGGUGAGUAACACGUGGGUAACCUGCCCAUCAGAAGGGGAUAACACUUGGAAACAGGUGCUAAUACCGUAUAACACUAUUUUCCGCAUGGAAGAAAGUUGAAAGGCGCUUUUGCGUCACUGAUGGAUGGACCCGCGGUGCAUUAGCUAGUUGGUGAGGUAACGGCUCACCAAGGCCACGAUGCAUAGCCGACCUGAGAGGGUGGUCGGCCACACUGGGACUGAGACACGGCCCAGACUCCUACGGGAGGCAGCAGUAGGGAAUCUUCGGCAAUGGACGAAAGUCUGACCGAGCAACGCCGCGUGAGUGAAGAAGGUUUUCGGAUCGUAAAACUCUGUUGUUAGAGAAGAACAAGGAUGAGAGUAGAACGUUCAUCCCUUGACGGUAUCUAACCAGAAAGCCACGGCUAACUACGUGCCAGCAGCCGCGGUAAUACGUAGGUGGCAAGCGUUGUCCGGAUUUAUUGGGCGUAAAGCGAGCGCAGGCGGUUUCUUAAGUCUGAUGUGAAAGCCCCCGGCUCAACCGGGGAGGGUCAUUGGAAACUGGGAGACUUGAGUGCAGAAGAGGAGAGUGGAAUUCCAUGUGUAGCGGUGAAAUGCGUAGAUAUAUGGAGGAACACCAGUGGCGAAGGCGGCUCUCUGGUCUGUAACUGACGCUGAGGCUCGAAAGCGUGGGGAGCGAACAGGAUUAGAUACCCUGGUAGUCCACGCCGUAAACGAUGAGUGCUAAGUGUUGGAGGGUUUCCGCCCUUCAGUGCUGCAGCAAACGCAUUAAGCACUCCGCCUGGGGAGUACGACCGCAAGGUUGAAACUC